AUACGUAGGGGGCAAGCGUUAUCCGGAUUUACUGGGUGUAAAGGGAGCGUAGACGGUUCUGCAAGUCUGGAGUGAAAGCCCGGGGCUCCAACCCCGGGACUGCUUUGGAAACUGUGGAACUAGAGUGCAGGAGAGGUAAGUGGAAUUCCUAGUGUAGCGGUGAAAUGCGUAGAUAUUAGGAGGAACACCAGUGGCGAAGGCGGCUUACUGGACUGUAACUGACGCUGAGGUGCG
rnacentral:rRNA from 1 species